rnacentral:rRNA from 1 species
CUCCUACGGGAGGCAGCAGUGAGGAAUAUUGGACAAUGGGGGCAACCCUGAUCCAUCAAUGCCAUGUGUGUGAAGAAGGCCUUAGGGUUGUAAAGCACUUUACUUGGGGAAGAAAGCUUUGAGGUUAAUAGCCUUGAAGAAAAGGACGUUACCCAAAGAAUAAGCACCGGCUAACUCCGUGCCAGCAGCCGCGGUAAUACGGGGGGUGCAAGCGUUAAUCGGAAUUACUGGGCGUAAAGGGUCUGUAGGUGGUUUGUUAAGUCAGAUGUGAAAGCCUAGGGCUCAACCUUGGAACUGCAUUUGAUACUGGUAAACUAGAGUACGGUAGAGGAAUAGGGAAUUUCUGGUGUAGCGGUGAAAUGCGUAGAGAUCAGAAGGAACACCAAUGGCGAAGGCAACAUUCUGGACCGAUACUGACACUGAGGGACGAAAGCGUGGGGAUCAAACAGGAUUAGAUACCCUGGUAGUCCACGCUGUAAACGAUGAGUACUAGCUGUUGGAGUCGGUGUAAAGGCUCUAGUGGCGCAGCUAACGCGAUAAGUACUCCGCCUGGGGAUUACGGCCGCAAGGCUAAAACUCAAAGGAAUUGACGGGGACCC